CUCAUACACUGCUUUUAGGUAACGUAGAACGUAAUUUAACCGCUAUACACUUCCCCAACGAGAAUAUACACUUCCCCCAUCUUCGCUACGUCACAAUUCAAAAAGGUUUAUUAGUGUUUGUAUUCAUAACUAUUCCAAUAUACACUGCUAACUUUACAAAUGAAUAAAAUCUAAGGUAGUCAGUACACUUACUUUCAUUACAAAACAUCGUAAAAUACAAAACAUGAUUGUUCGACAUUACAAGUCAUUGGAGUUGUAAAGCUUUGCCCACGAGCGCAAAACGACAGAUCUUCUGAAAACAUCUGGUUCCUGCUUAAUUAAGUUAACUAAGGUUCCUAGUUACUUCGAGGGUCACAUACCAUAGCUGUACCAUGAAGCUUUAUACGACAGUCUUCCCGUUCUUGUGCAAGGAUAUAACAACUAAUUCAGAAAAGGUUCUCCUUCAAAAAAUCUUAAAACAUUGAGCGCGGUGGUAUGAUGGGUAUUGUUCAUUUGGAGCCUUAGAUUGGGCAUUGCCUUAGUAAACCAAAUAGCCCUACAUCGAAAGUGUUCAUUAAAUGCGCUAGCAUUGUUGCCAAUUAAAUAUCCCGGGUUUAAGACUCUAAAUAGGAAGAUACCCAUCGUCCGUUGCGCGCUCAAUGUUUAAGGUUUAAGAUUUUUUAAGGAAAACCUUUUUUGAAAAAGCUAUAUGUGUGUACUGUAAAAGUAAAAACUAUAUACCUUCAAAAUACGUUGUUCUCUUUGUUACGUCCAGGGACCGAAACCAAGAUAUAAGCCACAUGUAGCAUUAUGAUCAUCAGGUAAAGUAGUGUUUCUCGUGUCUGUUGUUCAAUAGUAUGUGCAAAAAUCAAAGCUUUGCCUUGAAAACAUACCUCGGCUCUAUUAUGUUGGCAAAAGUUCCCAGUUCAUUAAUGACCACGGCUGAGCCUUUAUUAACAAACUCUAUAUAUGAAGAGUCAGAAGACCUAUAGUCUCAGAUUGCCAGGGCGGCCUGAACCUAUAUAUGAAAAUCAAGUAGCACAUGAGCUAAUACUUUAAAGGAUUCUUUUGUUCAGUUCUUCAGCAACAAUUUAUGUACUCUCGUCGCUUUCUUCAUCACUGGCAGGUUGUUUCACAUCAAUCUUGAACGUAUAUUCCUGAUCACAUCCCAGAUAUGCGUCACACAUGAAGUAUAGGACAUAUGAAUGGUUUCCUGUCUGCUGUGGGGCCACAAAAUCUAGUUUCACUCGAGCUUUCUGCUGCAAUGUCAGUCUUUUGAUCGAAAUUAAACUACAGGAAAAAAGCAAACCCCAGUUAAGCGCUAGAUUUUAGAGUAAGGUCAGCUUUAUGCUACCCUGGGUUCAGAUGUUUUCUG
rnacentral:lncRNA from 1 species